GCCAAUUAGUCUGGUGUAUGUUUGUAUAUAUUUAGUGCUAAGCCAUUGACCCUGAUGGUGACGGAACUGUCGGGAGAUACUAUUUCUUGGGAAGCAGGUGCAUAUGUGAAGGGUAGACAUUUGGAAACUGUUUCCGUGGUAAGCAAGGCGAUUGACGAGAAGAGACAUUGCUUUUCUAAUCUGUUUACUGGGAGGCAGUUAUAGUAUAAGGUUAUACACUCUUGUGGAGUUAUCUACUGCAUUAUUUGGCAAACCUGCAUUUCAGAAUCUCAUUUGCAAUGGACAUAUACUUGCUGACAAUAGAAAAAAAAAAAAACGAGUAAAAGUCUGAAAAAUUAUCCUCCAAUUGAUGUUAUCGAUCAGUAUGCAGCUGUGUUUAUUGUAACUCACUGUUCGUAUUAUAGUUUCAGUAUCAUGUCUGAUCAGAUUUCUGUUGUGCAGGAUGCAGUACGAUUUAUACCUAAUUAACUCUCCUGUUGUGCGCUGAACCAUUACGUUUCAAGAA